GUGUGUGACACUUCCAGUUUUAAUUCUUUGAGGGACCCAGGGCAGUUGUCUUAGCAGUGAACAGCCUCCCCGUCCCCCCACAUCCUGCUGACACGUAUCUUCUGGGUUUGGGUGGUCGCCAUCCUGGUGGGUGUGUGGUGACUCGCUGUGGUUGAGAUGGCAUGUCCCUGUGGCUGGGGACGUGCAGCUGGGUGGCCCUCUCCGUAUCUGGUGCUCCUUUGUGGACUGUCUUUGGGGAAAUGUCCUCCCAAGUCUGUGGCCCGUCUUUGACUGAGGUAUUUCAUUCCUGGCUGUUGAGUUCUUGAUACAUUCCAGUCAUCAACGCUCAUCAGACAGGUGACAGCAACCACUUCCCGCAUUCCAGAGGUCACUCUCGGGGCGCAGCCUUCGAUGACGCGAGGUUCAGUCUGCAGAUCAGUGUGCUAUUUGUCACACUCAAGAUCGGGCCACGGUCACCACCACCUAGUUCUGGGAUUUUCUUCAUCACUCCAGAUGGAAAUCCUUUACCCAUUGAGCAGAAACUUCCCAUUUCCCCUGCCCUACGCCCUGGAAACCACCGUUGCACUUUCUGUCCCUGUGAAUGUGCCUGUUUUGGAUAUUUUAUACAAAUGAAAUCUGUAUUAGUUAGGGUUUUCCAGAGAAAGAGAACCAACCAGAAAAUUCUGCUUAUUCCAAUCAUACAUUAUGAUUAAAAUAAUAUGUAAAAAUGACAUUAGUACAAUUAGUAUACUAACAUAGUACAUACAAUUAUAUAUCAUUUAUCAUUAUUAUUAUAAUUAUGUAUCUAAUUAUUAUCAACUUAUCAUGUAUUAUGUGUUAUUAUGUAUCAUUUUGUCAUCACAUACUAACUACACGAUAGUUAUGUAUUUAAGUUAUUAUACUAACAUGUGCUACCUGUGAUGUAUGCUUAGAUACACACAGAGACUGAUCCUGAGAGGUCUGCUUAUGAGCGUAAGGGGCUGAGGAGGCCGGGGAAGCUGCUGCUGGUCCCACCCCAAGCCUGAAGGCCUGAGAGCUGGGAGUCCCAGCCCGAGUCCCAAGGCGUGUUCAGGGACCCCCUACACUGGGGGACAGGAUGUGGUUUUCUCCGUCUGUGAUUCAGACUCCAGUCUCUUCUGGAAACAUCCUCAGAGGCCCACCCAGAAGUCACGCCGUCCAGCUUCUGGGUCGCCCCUCGCCCAGUGACAUUGACAGAACUGUAGGACAUGUGUCACCUAGCACACUGCACCCCAGGAUCGGGGUGUUCAGCAGCAUCUCGUUCCUUCUCUGGUGAAGUGACCUCCCUGUGGUCGCAGGCCCUGUCUGUCCACUCACACUAGAUGAGUUGGGUUGUUUCUGCUUUUGGGGGAUGAGCUUUGCUCUGGGGACAGGAGACACGGGGCUUCCAUCUUUCGCGUCCCCUGGGGAGGACUUCCGAUUCUCCUGGGCAGAUGAGGAGUGUAGAAGUGCCCCUGCUCUCGAGCAGCUUCCCAGCCUUGUCACUGUUGACCCGGGGCGGGGGCAGAUGCCUCUUUAUCAUGGGCGCAGACUGGGCAGCACGUUUAGCAGCGUCCUUGGCCUCUGCCCACCGGAUUUCAGAAGUACCCAUCCCCCAGUGAUGGAAAUCAGCGCAUCUCCAGAUGUGGUCAACGUCUCUGAUGACAAAAUCGACCCUGGGUGGGAAUGAUCUUCUCUGUGUCUGGGAUUUGGAUGUGGAUAAGUUGUGUUCUUAACACCUCUAUGUGUGACAUUGAGUCUAGAGAGGCUGGCGGGAGGGCAAGGAAGGAGACGGGGCAGGUGACAUCUUGGUGGCUGGUCAUUCUCAGAAAUCAACACAAGUGGCCGGGCGCAGUGGCACACGCCUGUAACCCCAGAGGCUCAUGAGGCUGAGGCAGGAGGAUCGCGAGUUCAAAGCCAGCCUCAACAAUGGUGAGGGCUAAGCUACUCAGGGAGACCCUGUCUCUAAAUAAAAUACAAAAUAGGGCUGGGAUGUGGCUCAGAGGUUGAGUGCCCCUGAGUUCAGUCCCUGGUACCCACCCACAAAAAAAAAAAAAAACCAACACAAGCGCCUCUCCAGUGAGCACACGAGGCCAAGCACUCUCCAGUGAGCACACACGGCAUGCUCCAACACGCUGAGCAGAAUGACAACUCUGUUUUUUUGUUGUGAUUCAGGAGCUCUGUUUGCUCAGUGAGGACUCUAAAGACCCCUGUCCCCUGUGCCUUUGGGGAAUGUUGUCCCUGGCUCUCCAAAGUUAUUUUAAAAUAUAAAGACAUGACACAUAAGCAGUUCCCACCAAGAGCUGUUUGAUUUUAAGGAAGGUUCAUGAUUACCAAGGAAAAUAACCCACAGAAUCAGGGAACUAGACAGAUUUCAGUUCUCUUUGAUCCGAGCACAACAUCACAGAUUCUGAAAUUAACUCUUCCAUCUACAACAGCUCCACUUCCUCUUAUUUCUAUUCCUUAUUCACAUGAAUUGAAUUGCAUAAGCUCUGCUGGCAAUCACUGAAGGGCAGUUUCUGCUAAAUUGUGACCCACAUAAUCCGGAACGCCCUUGGGGACAAGGAGGGGACACUGGCUGAUUCCUGGGUGCUUGUUUGGAUAGCAGCUCGACUGCGUGGACCUGGACUAGCUAACCCACUCACCCCUUUAUUCCAGGGUUCAGCUGGCAGUUAGGCCUGGGUCACCCCUCACUGGGGAGGGUUCCUCGCACUGUAGGACAUUUAGCACCAUCCUGGCCCUCGUCCAGUAGCGCCAGUAGACACUCCCCAGGUGACAGCAGGAGCACCUCCAGGCGCUGCAGGGCUUCCCGGCCACACCCUCUUCAGAACUGCUGCUGCCUUCUCUUCUCAUUCAUUUAUUUCCAUUAAAUCAGCAGAAAUUUCAUGCCCUCUGUGUGCCAGGCACCGACCGCGAAGGGGACACAGCGCAGCAGGCGGCGGGGUCUCUGCCCUCGUGGAGCGGACGUUUCAACCUGUUCCUCUGGAUCUGGAGCGUCCUUGUAUUCUAGAAAGCAGGAAUACUUUUAAAAUGUCACAGGCUGUUCUAGGAGGACACGGAAGCCGGUUUAGGGGACUCCCACAGGACAGGUUGUGGCAGGGACUGAAUGUGCGCCGAUGACUGCACUCAGUUUUCCACCAACAAUGGCCUUGUGCCCAAGACCUCGAGCAUCCUCCGGUGCACCCCGACUCCAGAAUACUGAAGUGUGAGGAAGGACAGGAUGUCUCCGUCUUGCAGACGGGGAAACGGGAGCUCCCAGGACCAGGACCCAAGUUGAUAUUUGGUGUCUUCAGAACCUGCCAGAUUCUGGAAGAAUCUAAUAAUGCUUCAGGUGAAAAGGCACAUGAGUGGGUGAAUUCUGCUUCCUGUUUGCAGUGCAGAAAACUAAAAAAUCACCCCCACUCAGAGGAGGUGGAAGCAAGGACCAGCUUCUACCUCCCUGAGGUGCCGCCUGCCCUUAGGGCCUCGCUGCUGCUGACCCCCGCUGCGGCUUCUGAAGGUCAGUCCCGGGCCCUCUGCUCUGUUGUCUUUCCUGAGUCCCCUGUUUUAAGAGGUGGGGGACGGCAGCUGCCCCCAGGGUCUCCUCCCCUUGCCCUGAGCGCUCUGCCUGUCCAAACCACCCAACAAACACAGCGUGCACAUACAGGGUCCCAGCCCUUCCACGUGAGUGUCCACAGAGCUAAUGCUGGGUGACGGACGGGCCCCUGAGCCGCUGCGGGUGACCAGCGCUGUCCUCUCACUUGGGGCCUCAAGGUCGGGAAUUGAAGAAGCUUAGCUGGGGGCUGUGGCUCGGGUCUCAGGGGGUCGCAGUUAGGGGCUCUCCGCUGGGUUGGGGGGAGCUGUUCCAAGAUGGCAUCAUCCAAAGGCUCCGCGGUUGGCUGGAGGCCUCAGUUCCGGCCGGAUGGGCCUCUCCACGAGGCUGCUCACAGCAUGGCAGCUGGACUCCACCCAGGCGCACAAGGGACAGAGCCACAGAGAGAGACUGAGAAAGAAGCUGCCGUGAUGACCCGCCUCCCUGCAUGUCUCUUCUGCUGUCCCUGUCAGCCAUUCUCAACGCCUGUCUUUGGUUCUUUGGGCCCGUGUCUUUGGAAAACUCUGAGCUGUGGCUAAUAGAUAGGUUCAGAGGUCCAGCGGGGUCAGGGAGUGCCUGGAAGCCCCGACCUGGCCUGUGCCCGGGGGGACCCGCAGUGCCGCCUCUUCUGCAGCCUGCGCUGGAGGCGGGGACCCACCCUCGGGGCCCAGCCUGGGCUGAGCCCCCAGAGCCGGCUGCGCUGACCCUGGGCAUUCUGAUGCCGAGCAGACCUGCCCCGGCCGUCGGGAUGUCUCUUUAAAAAGAAAUAAAGAACAGAAACAAGAGGGGAAAACUGUGGGCACCAGAGGGAAGUCUGCUCUUUCAGUCACUUCCACACACAGACCUGUGCUGUGUGACCUUUGAACAGAAACAGCACACAGCCCUCGGCUCCUCCUGGACGUCCUGACAGCCCGGAACCCGCCCUUGUGGGCACAGGCAGGGAGCAGGGCACGGCUGGGCAGCGGGAGGAGAAGCAGACCCGCCAGGUGACUGGGUCCCCUCCUUGCAGCAGACAAAGCACCUGAGCGUGAGUGGGCGUCUGCGCCCGAGAAAUGAAUAGCAGCCGGGGCCCAUUUUUACCAGCGGGGAAACAUGGGUCUAAGAAAAGACUUCCAGGAAGGGCAUCAGCUGCCGUCUCUGCCUUGCCUUCUCAAAAGCCUCCACAACUGAGUCCAACAGCGAGUCUAGUGGCCUCGGCCACACCACAGACCCCACCCGCCUCUCAGCCGCCGCUCUUACCAGCAGAGUAGACUGGAAGGGACGAUGACGCAUGUGUCCCUGAGACUCGUGCCACACUGAACGGCAGAGUGCUCCCGAGGGCCUCGAGGGGACGGAACUGAAAAC